UACAGGGGGUGCAAACGUUGCUCGGAAUUAUUGGGCGUAAAGCGCGCGUAGGCGGCUACUUAAGUCGGAUGUGAAAGCCCCUGGCUCAACUGGGGAAGUGCACCCGAAACUGAGUGGCUUGAGUACUAAAGAGGGUCGCGGAAUUCCCGGUGUAGCGGUGAAAUGCGUAGAUAUCCGGAGGAACACCGGUGGCGAAGGCGGCUUCCUGGACCGACACUGACGCUGAGGCGCGAAAGCUAGGGGAGCAAACGGG
rnacentral:rRNA from 1 species